CGUGGGACGAGGUCGAAGUUCACCGAAAUGGAGCGACAGGAUGAUAGCGGCUCGACGCAGACCGAUAGUGCUAGGGCCGCGGACAAUAACAAGCGUUAUUCGAUCGCAAAUGGCUCCGCACGUAAUGUCUCGCAGGACGACUUCGAUCUCGACGAUCUUUUGCCGAUUAUUGGCGAGUUCGGUCGUUAUCAGAAGCAAUUGCUAUGGCUGGUCUGCUUGCCGGCGUGUCUGCCGUGUGGCUUUUGCGCCUUCAAUCAAUUGUUUAUGGCGGACACGCCACCGCACUGGUGCAAGGUGCCGGGUUUGGAGAACAUGGAUGUUGUUCGCAGAAGACGCCUCGCCAUUCCCACGAGCCAGGAUGACAACGAGACGUACAGCCAGUGCACGCGAUACGAUAUCGACUGGACGGCGACGAAGACGAUGGAGAACUACUCCGUCGUGACGACGUACUUGCCCAUACCCAACGCGUCAUGGUCCGUCGUGCCCUGCGAUCAUGGCUGGGAAUAUGAGACCUCAGAAAUGAUAUCGUCCAUUGUCAUCGAUUUCGAUCUUGUAUGCGAUCGCGCGAUCUAUCCAACAAUUGGUUUAGUGGCUCUUAAUGCAGGAGGUCCUAUAGGAGUGUAUCUGUUCGGCACAUUAAAUGACAGAAUCGGUCGGAGGUUAUCCUUCUUUACGUGUUUGGCAACGUUAAUAACUGGCGGUUUUCUGACGGCAAUUUCGAACAAUUUUUGGACUUGGGCUUCUACACGUUUUAUCGUUGGUUUGACAAUACCAGCGAUUUACCAAAUACCUUUUAUUAUAUCCUUGGAGUUGGUCGGUCCAAAUUACCGUUCAUUUGUGACAGUUAUGACUUGCACUUUCUAUACGAUGGGCCUGUGUAUGCUAGCAGGUGUCACAUACUUAGUUCGUGAUUGGCGAAUGCUCGCCAUAAUCACGAGUGCACCUUUUCUGAUAUACUUCUUUUAUUGGUGGUUCUUACCGGAAUCACCGCGGUGGUUGUUAGCAAAGGGUCGUCUAGGUGAGGCUAACGAUAUUCUUGAGACUUUGGCUCGCGUGAAUGGCAAAGAACUUCCAGCAUCGUUCACGCGGAAGCUCCGUCAGCGUAUGACGAUGUCGAGAUCGAAGAGCGAGGAGGAGAGAUUGCGAGCUGGUCCCGGUGUGCUCUCGCUCUUCAAAUUGCCAAAUAUGCGUCUCAAGACGUGUCUUAUCACAUUAAACUGGUUCGCCAAUAAUAUGGUGUACGUCGGUCUUUCCUAUUACGGGCCGGCUUUGGGGAACGAAGAACAUCUGAGUUUUCUGUUUUCUUCCCUCGCCGAGAUCCCUAGUUACAUCGCCUGUUGGGUUGUAAUGGAUCGAUGGGGCCGUCGAUGGCCGCUUUGCCUGUGCAUGGUCGUGGCUGGAGUAUCGUGCAUUGCAACGGUGCUGUUAUCGCCCGACGCUGUUAUGGAAACUUUAAUACUAUUUCUCAUAUCGAAGUCUACGAUAUCGGCGUCUUUUUUGAUUAUUUACCCCUUCGCCGGAGAACUCUAUCCUACGCAAUUACGCGGAGUUGCCAUCGGUUUCUCCGCGUACAUCAGCGGCCUCGGACUCAUCAUCAUACCCUUCGUAACGUAUCUCGGGAGAGAAAAUCUUGUGUUACCUUUAGUCAUUUUGGGUACAAUUUCGGUAAUUGGUGGUUUAUCCGGACUACGACUGCCGGAAACAUUACAUCACCGUUUACCACAGACUAUUGAGGAAGGAGAAUUGUUUGGCAAAGAUUGGACGUGCUCGGAUUGCAUUCGUUGCGUUCCAAGAAAACCAUCAUCGAUCGCGACUUCUUACGAGGACUUGUCGACGCGAGACACAGUAGAGAUGCAGGAAGUAUCCGAAGGGAGAUUGGCUUCAUCCAUUUUGGAAGAACAUCAACGGCCUAGCACGGCAAGUGUUCGCCGUUUGGCUCGCCAGUCCAGCGUGAUGGAUACUCAACGUGAUUCCGACGGAACUAUGAAGAUGACUUAUUGGUUUUAACUCUAGUCAUUUUAAAUCAAACUGCGUUCUAGUCACAAUUCUAGUCAAAAUAAAAUGGAUUUUUUUCCCAUUUCUUCUACAAUAAAAAACACGAACUAUUGUGACGAAUUAUAUCCUCACUCGUGUCAUUUUAAUCAAUGAAUUCUUUUCUUGAUAUAAAACGAAUGAAAACAAAAUCUGU